GCGUAUUCCAGCUCGAAUAGCGUAUGUUAAAUUUGCUGCGGUUAAAAAGGCUCGUAGUUGGGAGUCAGGAGAUGAACUGUGCGCUGUCAUGUCACAAAAUGACGUGUAUAGCAUUGCACCAGAUUCACUUCUUUAACAUCGCUGCUCCUGCGUCGUCAAAGACCCAAUUAAGUUUGGGAGGCGCAUUUAAAAGGGAAGGCGAGUAACUACUUUGAGAAAAUUAGCGUGCUUAACGCAAGCGUCUUGCUUGAAUACUGUUGCAUGGAAUAAUGAGAUAGGACCUUGGUUCUGUUUCGUUGGUUUCCGGAAGCCGAGGUAAUGAUUGAUAGGGAUAAACGUGGGCAUUCGUAUUGUGGUGUUAGAGGUGAAAUUCGAUGAUCACCGCAAGACGUACAACUGCGAAAGCAUUUGCCAAGAAUGUUUUCAUUAAUCAAGAACGAAAGUUAGAGUUUCGAAGACGAUUAGAUACCGUCCUAGUUCUAACUAUAAACUAUGCCAACUGGGCAUCUGGCGCUUGCAACUUAAAAGCAUCGCCAGGCACCCCGCGGGAAACCAAAGUUAUUGGGUUCCGGGGGGAGUAUGGUUGCAAAAUCGAAACUUAAAGGAAUUGACGGAGGGGCACACCAGAAGUGGAGCCUGCGGCUUAAUUUGACUCAACACGGGA
rnacentral:rRNA from 1 species